rnacentral:rRNA from 1 species
AGAUUGAACGCUGGCGGCAUGCCUUACACAUGCAAGUCGAACGGCAGCACGGGAGCAAUCCUGGUGGCGAGUGGCGAACGGGUGAGUAAUAUAUCGGAACGUGCCCAGUCGUGGGGGAUAACGUAGAGAAAUUUACGCUAAUACCGCAUACGAUCCAAGGAUGAAAGCGGGGGACCGUAAGGCCUCGCGCGACUGGAGCGGCUGAUAUCAGAUUAGCUUGUUGGUGAGGUAAAAGCUCACCAAGGCGACGAUCUGUAGCUGGUUUGAGAGAACGACCAGCCACACUGGGACUGAGACACGGCCCAGACUCCUACGGGAGCAGCAGUGGGGAAUUUGGACAA